CUGCACACUCACUCAACAAAGUUUCAUACACAUAUGCCAUCACAGUAGAGUAUAAGACCUCAAUCUGAAUAGACUGUGAUUUUAACCUAGAACUAACAGAGCAUCCUAGAAUGAGGAUGGGUGAAGCUACUAAUAAUAACACACAGAGCAUCGCCGACUAUUUGGCGCAGCUUCUAAAGGACAAAAAGCAGCUUGCAGCUUUCCCGAAUGUAUUUGUGCACAUGGAACGUUUGCUAGAUGACGAAAUUGGUAAAGUGCGGAGUAACUUGUUCCAAAUAAAUGGUUACGUGAAGGAGCCUCUAAUAUUACCAGAUGGAAAUGGUCCUCCAGUAAUUCACACAGAAAAGGUUUAUGUUCCGGUCAAAGAUCAUCCAGAGUUUAACUUUGUUGGUCGUAUUCUGGGCCCUAGGGGGCUCACCGCCAAGCAGUUGGAACAGGAGACUGGAUGUAAAGUAAUGGUGCGAGGGAAGGGCAGCAUGAGAGACAAGAAAAAGGAGGAACAGAACCGUGGUAAACCAAACUGGGAGCACUUGAACGAUGAGCUCCAUGUUCUAAUUACAGUUGAAGAUUGUGAAAACCGAGCAACACUCAAGCUAGAGCGCGCAGUCGAAGAAGUUAAGAAACUCCUCACCGUGAGCGAGGGUGAAGAUGAAUUAAAGAAGAGACAGUUGAUGGAGUUGGCCAUUAUCAACGGAACAUACAGAGAUUCAACAAGCAACAUGUCAUCUCCUGGACUUGAGACUCAACCCAGACUUGCUCUCACCCACAGCCAGCAUACUCAGCUCCAGAACGCGCUCGCAAACCAGGCGGCCGCGCUCAGGCAGAGCGGUCAACUGGGCGGCGCGCCUUUAAUUCUCUCCCCUCGUCUUCAGGGACUUCAGGUCCCAACCACCUUGGCCAAUGGACUGCUAAGCAACGGUGGUCCACCUCCACUCAUCAAUCCUAACGAUACGCAACAGCUGUUGUACGCACAAUACGGGAUUGCGGAUUACAGCAGCUACGCAGGGCUUACGUCACCAUUGAUUGACUACACACAGGAUACUUCAGGACUUGGUAAGGACAGGAAAUUUGUUGCUGGGCUUAGACAGCAUCCCUAUACCAGGCCCUAGUCUGAAGUGAGAGUUAGAGACACCUGUUGUUGAACUAGAGAACUACGAAUUAGAGAUAUUUAUCCCAGAGUAGAGAUAACUCGUGUCAAAAUAUGAAAAUAUAAUGUCCGGCCAGACCGGACAUUGGAGAUCUGCAACAUCUAAGAAUCUCUUUGUACAUAAAAAAUACUGUUGCAGUGCACACAACUGAACAUAAUUAUGACUGUCAAUGUUUAAAUUUACAAUUAGUCGACAUUUUUUGAUUCUCCAUGUACAGUCAUUGGUACACGGAUAUAUUAUAUGUGUUCAAUGUGUUGUACAGUACCUACAUGUACAGGAUGUAUGCACAACAAUGUUAUAGCUGUACUCUGUACAGUGUGCAUAUGUAUUAAUAAUUAGCGCAUUUUUGCUAAUUUAAUUCACUGGUGCCAAAUAUAAAACAGGGUUUUGUUUUAUUUUUAUUACUGUACACUUGAACACAUUAUCAUGUUUAAAAGGGCACACCGUAAUGCCUCGAAUUUCGAUUGUUUAUGUAUAUUUAUGAAAAAUAUUUUUAAUUACGUAUUACUUAAUCAAUUAUUCAUAAUACUGAUAUAACUACUUAUAUUUAAUUGAACAUAAAAGUAGUUUUAUUUUCUCCAUAUUGAAUGAAUCGAAUUGACUAGAAUUUAUUUUAUGUCAAAAUAUUGUAAGUGUACUGCAGGAGAUCUGUGCAAACAAACAAUAACAAUAUGAUAUUGUUUAUCCCAUAAAUCUGACUGCAACGAAUUUUUACAAUGAUAUUCUCCAAGAUGCAAAGUUUUACAAAUUCCUUUAUUGCAUUCAUAAAUAUGGGAUACCUGGUAUACCAGGGUUAAACAUCGUUAUCCCCCCUCAGAAAAUAUUUAUUUUCCAAGAAGAUAUUUAUGCUUCAAGCAAUCCCUCCAACAUGGUAUUGUAGACGAGGAAAAUCUCCGAAAGAGGAAAAUAAAAUCCGCAAAUCAGUUGUCAUGUUUACUUUGUUUACGUCAGUUCUCCUGAAUACAAAACUUGUGCCAUCUUUACUUAAUGUGCCUUCACCACGUGCCUUAGAUGUAGACACAGAUUACACAGAUCGGACGUUAAGAGCGAGCCUUGGGUUUCUAAGACGACCUUCGUUGUCCUAUCUGUCACAUCUGUGAAUGUAGAUAAAAUUGUGUCAUAGUAUAUAUAUAACAAUAAUCCCAUCCGUCCAAGAUAAAUUUUUAAAAAUUUGUAUUUGCAGAUCGUAGUCAUUUAGCCCCACUUCUUAUCCUACUUAAUUGUAUAGUCGUACACCUAGUGUUAAAAAUAAAUAUGUUUUUAAAAUUCA